GGCUCAGGACGAACGCUGGCGGCGCGCUUAACACAUGCAAGUCGAGCGAUGAAAUUUCGACAGAUCYCUUCGGGGUGAAGAUGAAAUGGAUUAGCGGCGGACGGGUGAGUAACACGUGAGUAACCUGCCUUAGACAUUGGGAUAGCCUCGGGAAACCGGGAUUAAUACCAAAUGAAAUCACAUAUGCACAUGCAUAAAUGAUCAAAGCUCCGGCGGUCUAAGAUGGACUCGCGUCCCAUUAGCUAGUUGGUGAGGUAACGGCCCACCAAGGCGACGAUGGGUAGCCGGCCUGAGAGGGUGAACGGCCACAUUGGAACUGAGAAACGGUCCAAACUCCUACGGGAGGCAGCAGUGGGGAAUAUUGCACAAUGGAGGGAACUCUGAUGCAGCGACGCCGCGUGAACGAAGAAGGCUUUCGAGUCGUAAAGUUCUUUUAUAUGGGAAGAUAAUGACGGUACCAUAAGAAAAAGCCCCGGCUAACUACGUGCCAGCAGCCGCG
rnacentral:rRNA from 1 species